UUUUGUUUAUUUUAAAAAAAAAAUUUGUAUUUCUAACAAAAAAUAUACGUAUAUUGUAUAACAAAAU
rnacentral:tRNA from 1 species